GAUGAACGCUAGCGGCAGGCCUAAUACAUGCAAGUCGAACGAUACUUUCCAGCUUGCUGGAGAGGAAAGUGGCGCACGGGUGCGUAACGCGUAUGCAACCUACCUUCAUCAGGGGGAUAGCCCGGAGAAAUCCGGAUUAAUACCGCAUAAAAUCACAGGAUGGCAUUAUCCAAUGAUCAAACAUUUAUGGGAUGGAGAUGGGCAUGCGUGUCAUUAGCUAGUUGGCGGGGUAACGGCCCACCAAGGCGACGAUGACUAGGGGAUCUGAGAGGAUGGCCCCCCACACUGGUACUGAGACACGGACCAGACUCCUACGGGAGGCAGCAGUAAGGAAUAUUGGUCAAUGGAGGCAACUCUGAACCAGCCAUGCCGCGUGCAGGAAGACUGCCCUAUGGGUUGUAAACUGCUUUUAUCCGGGAAUAAACCUCAUUACGAGUAAUGAGCUGAAUGUACCGGAAGAAUAAGGAUCGGCUAACUCCGUGCCAGCCGCCGCAGUAAAAC
rnacentral:rRNA from 1 species